GACGAACGCUGGCGGCGUGCUUAACACAUGCAAGUCGAACGGAAAGGCCCUGCUUUUGUGGGGUGCUCGAGUGGCGAACGGGUGAGUAACACGUGAGUAACCUGCCCUUGACUUUGGGAUAACUUCAGGAAACUGGGGCUAAUACCGGAUAGGAGCUCCUGCUGCAUGGUGGGGGUUGGAAAGUUUCGGCGGCUGGGGAUGGACUCGCGGCUUAUCAGCUUGUUGGUGGGGUAGUGGCUUACCAAGGCUUUGACGGGUAGCCGGCCUGAGAGGGUGACCGGCCACAUUGGGACUGAGAUACGGCCCAGACUCCUACGGGAGGCAGCAGGGGGGAAUAUUGCACAAUGGGCGGAAGCCUGAUGCAGCAACGCCGCGUGCGGGAUGACGGCCUUCGGGUUGUAAACCGCUUUCGCCUGUGACGAAGCGUGAGUGACGGUAAUGGGUAAAGAAGCACCGGCUAACUACGUG
rnacentral:rRNA from 1 species